rnacentral:rRNA from 1 species
UUUGGUUGCAAUAGCAAAGAGGAUACACCUGUUCCCAUUUCGAACACAGAAGUUAAGCUCUUUAACGCCGAAAGUACUUAGAGGGAGACCUCUUGGGAGGUUAGGUAGUAGCCAAAU